rnacentral:rRNA from 1 species
GACGAACGCUGGCGGCGUGCUUAACACAUGCAAGUCGAACGGAAAGGCCCUGCUUUUGUGGGGUGCUCGAGUGGCGAACGGGUGAGUAACACGUGAGUAACCUGCCCUUGACUUUGGGAUAACUUCAGGAAAAUGGGGCGAAUACCGGAUAGAAGCUCCUGCUGCAUGGGGGGGGUUGGAAAGUUUCGGCGGUUGGGGAUGGACUGGAGGGUUAUCAGCUUGUUGGGGGGGUAGGGGCGUACAAGGGCUUUCACGGGUAGCCGGCCUGGGAGGGUGACCGGCCACCUUGGUCCUGCGAGACGCCCCAGACUCGUACGUGCGGCAGCGGUCGAGAGCAUUGCACAACGACGCGACGCCUGAUACGGCAACGCCGCGUGCGGGAUGCCCGCUUUCGGGUUGUAAACCGCUUUCUACUGUGACGAAGCGUGCGUGACGGUACUGGGUAAAGAAGCACCGGCUAACUACGUG